rnacentral:lncRNA from 1 species
GGCAUCAAUAACAGUGUCAGGGUUAGAACUUUUUACUGAAAAUAUAUCUUUAUACAACAUAGUUGAUAAUACUUUCUCCAUCCAGGUCCUAACAGAUACUGAUAGCUUCACAUACAACCAAUUUCAAGCAUUCUUGUUCUCCUCAAGACCAUGUUUUGACAACUUCAAUUAAGCAAUCAAGGAACAUUUGAGAAAGGAAGUCUGGUCAGGUGGGGGUGAGGAGUUGAACAUCCUUGCAGAGAUCGGGAGGGGGAGGAGGCAUGGGAUGUGUAACAGUCAGAGGGUGGACCCAGAUGGGGAUAAAAUCUAGAUUGUAGUAAAAGAUUAAAUAAUAAUUUAAAAAAACAAAGAAAGAAAAGAAAAAUGUUCCUACCACCAGCAAUACAAUAUUGAGCACUUAGGCAAUAAUAAAAGUUUGUGUAUCGUGUACUUCAUGAUUUAUUUUUCCUUUCCGUGGUUUUUGUACUUGUUUGUAUGCUGAGAGAAAAUGAGCAGCAAAUAUAUGUACGAAAGUACAACAAAUCUAAGUGAUAAAGAAUACAAUUAAAAUACGUUAUAUGAAAACCAGAAAAAAAUAAUCAAUCUAAAUAUUUAAAGAAAAUACUUUACUGAACAGAAUUACAAACAUUUUGCAGAGUCUAGAAAUUUCCAGGAGCUUAUGAAUGUUGACUUUGUCUUCUUUCUGUGUCUUUGUUAUAAGUACAGAUUGAUAUUUAUCUUGCCACAUUUCCUGGUGAGUGACCUAGAGAAACUGGAUUGUAGUAUUUGGCCUGUGACCCAAUAUCUGAUUGAUCUAGAAUUUUACUUGGCAGUCCAAGCACUGCCAGGAACUAUCUUUAUCUAUGAAAAUUGUGAACCAACUGUGGAUUGUAAAAAGGAACUAAAAAUCCAGGUACAGAUUGAUAUAAAUCUUGCCAUAUUCCCUAUUGAGUGACCUAGAGGAACUGGUUUGUAGACUUUGGCAUUUGCUCCUAUAUCAUUAUUGAAUUAGUAUUUUACUUGGCAGUAAAAAAACAAAAACAAAAAAACAAAAACAAAAAAAUACAAAAAACCUACCUAGCUCUACCAGGGUCUCUCUUUCCUUCUUAAAAUUCUGAGGCUCCUGUGGAUUACACAAAGGCAGUAAUGAGCCAGGUGAAUCUCGGUUGCACUUGUGAAUUAACUUUUUUCUUACCUGAUUUGAAAGCACAAUUUAACAACUUCAAAGAAUGGUAUUAACUGAUGUUUGUUUUUCUA